UACGUAGGUGGCAAGCGUUAUCCGGAAUUAUUGGGCGUAAAGCGCGCGCAGGUGGUUUCUUAAGUCUGAUGUGAAAGCCCACGGCUCAACCGUGGAGGGUCAUUGGAAACUGGGAGACUUGAGUGCAGAAGAGGAAAGUGGAAUUCCAUGUGUAGCGGUGAAAUGCGUAGAGAUAUGGAGGAACACCAGCGGCGAAGGCGGGUAGCUGGGCCAACACUGACGCUGAGGCACGAAGGCCAGGGGAGCAAACGGG
rnacentral:rRNA from 1 species